GUAAGAGCAAGGUAUCACAGUCGUGUGUUCGAUUUAGAGGAUGGUUCGAUGAGGGACUUAGCAUCUUUGCCGAUUUCUCGGAUGGUCGAGCCACCUCCAACUUGGCUCAGCCCUGAUUUGAGUUCUUCUGCAUCUGAAUCUUCAUUUUCAUGUAAAGCUUUCCUUCUUCAGUUCUUCUUCUCUCAGCAAAAUCAACAUGCAGAGGCCCAAGCUACAAUGGUGCGAUCUCCCAAAGGAGCUCUGGCAGAUGAUCGGAAAAUUCCUCGAAACCCGCGUCGACGUUCUCCGAUUCCGCAGCGUCUGCUCUCUCUGGCGCUCCGCCCUCCCUCCUGAUCUAGACCCAAUCGACUCUCCUCCUCUCCCCCUCGGAUUCCCUCACGCCGGCGAAGAGCCUCCCGCCGCCGUCUCUCAGACCACCGUCUACCGCCUGCAGUCGCUGAUCGCCGGCGAAGGUUCCGAUGAGUCGCUGCCGUUCUUGGUGAAGUUGGAGGAGGCUAAUUGCGGCGAAAUGCGUCUGCUUCAUCCGAUCACGAACUGGCAGCUCAGGUUAUCCAUCACUCCGACUAUAAAAGAAUUCAACUUGUUGGAUUAUAGGGUUGUGGAGUUGGUGAAAUUGUAUUCUCUGAAAUAUGCCUACACCAAAAUUGAUGUUACUUAUGUGAACAAAGUGGUGGUUUUGCCUGCUGAUCAUUUGAGUUUGGGGGAGGAUUUUGUGGUGUUUAUGAUUUAUAGAGGAGGGAAAUUGGCUGUUAUGAGGUAUGGGGAUGAGAGUUGGAUUCGUGUGGACGAAAACAACUCUCAUUAUGAUGAUCUCAUUGUGUACAAGGGUCAGUGCUAUGUUGUUGAUAAAUGGGGCACCAUUUCGUGGAUAAGUCAGGCAUUGCAGGUGAUUCAGUACUCGCCGCCGUUGUGUGGGUUUGGUGCACACAAGCAUUUGGUUGAGUGUUGCGGUGGUCUUUGUGUGGUUGACAGGUAUCUUGGUAGUGAGCCUCAGAGGAAGUUUAACUACAUACAUUGUGAUGGCGAGGUGGUGGAUUUUAAGGUUUAUCGGCUGGAUGAGGAAUGGGCGACGUGGGUCAAUGUGACAAACUUGGGGGAUCAAGUCAUUAUUUUGAGCUAUGAUGGAGCUUUCUCGGUUUCAACCAGAGACUUUCCUGGGGUGAAGGGAAAUUGCAUUAUGUUCACUGAACAAGACUUUGGUCCUUUACCAGCUGUAAUUGGAAUGCGAUCCAGAAGUCGUCACCGUCGUGUGUUUGACUUGCAGGAUGGUAGCAUGAGCAACAUCGGCUAUUCUCAGUUGUUCCGGACACCCUCAAAUUGGCUCACUAAUUGAUGUCCGGCUGUAUCCUCUGAAUGUAAGUUCAAAUCUCUAUUGUUACUUCAUUAUAAUUCUUACUUCUAAUUUAAGUUUUUAUCUUGUUAUUGCCCUGAGCAGCCAUUAGAUGUGUCAAAUUAACUAUGCACAGUCGGAAGGAACAACAUUUUGGGGUUGUGGUUCUUGAAUUUUCUGUAAAUCGUAGGAUUUUAAUUAACAAGUUAAUUGAGUAAACAAGCGUAACUGUUGUAAGUGUUCGUUAGUUAUCUUAAUUGGUAAACAAGCUUAGUUAUUCUGAAAUUAAAGUUGGGGGGUUUGCAUGAAAAGUGUUGUUAACAAAAAUUGGAAAAGAAAGAUCAAUCCUCAUCACUCAAACAAUCUAUGAAGGCUUACUGAAUGUCUAGAAAGUAUAUCAUAGGGUCAAUUUGAAGGGCCUGUAUAUACUCUUGUUGCAUUAUGAUGAGGUUCAUUUUACAGGACAGGGAACCACAAGAGAAAUUAAAGGCCUUUCAAAACUUGAAACAUUACUAACAAGACUGAGGAGGUAGAUGACAUAGUUUUUUAAAUUUAAGAAAAGAUUCUUGAAAAUUCUUUGUUAUUACAUUUUAACAGUCAUCUGGUGUAUGAAAGCUGUCAAAUUUUUGUUCAGGUUUUCACAAUAGUAUGUCUGUGGUGAUGAUAUAGACACAUUGAGAUAUGAUGGGACAUGCUACGCUAAUCAGCCCCGCCCCCUGCCCUCUUUAAUGCUCUGGAAGUUGGUUACUGCUCAAGACGUUAGUUGCCUUUCUUGGAGAAGAUGGAGGGUCCGAUUCCCAUGAAGAGUGGUCUGUAAAACUUCUACCGUAAAGUAGUGUAAAAAAUUGGAGAAGAUGGAGCGUCCGAUUCCCAUGAAGAGUGGUCUGUAAAACUUCUACCGUAAAGUAGUGUAAAAAAUAGUAGUCUUGUUUAUCCAGUGUUUAAUGGUAGUUUUGUUAAUCUUAUUCCAGUUGUAUAGAUACAGUUCAUGUAAGAUAUUUGAUCGUAAUCGAAGUUAUCGUUUUAUGUUAACUGCU